UGGAUUUUCAACCCUUGAAAUAGCAACAAUAAAAUAAGGUAAAGUACCUGACCACAUGACAUUCAUGUCUUGUUCAGAUUCAAGAUUCUGUACUGUAUUGUGAUAUGUCCGUAUAAAUUUAUUUCAGUUUCAUUCUAUUCUGAUUGUCAUUUCAUUUAUUUCCAAACAGUUUCGAUUUCCAGUUCACACAAACCCAAUUUCCAGUCAGGUUCCCAAACAGAGCUUCUUUACAAAAUCACUUCUAGAUGUCAUAAUUGGUGGCACUGUACCUUUUGGUUGUAUUUUUCUUCAACUUUUUUUCAUUCUAAACAGCAUUUGGUCGCAUCAGAUGUACUACAUGUUUCACUUCCUUUUCUUAGUUUUUUUAGUUCUUCUGACUGCUCAGAAGCUACAGUUCUGCUGUGCUAUUUUCAUUUGUGUGCUGAGGAUUAUCGUUGAUGGUGGAGAGCCUUUUUUAACCUGUAGUUUUACAUCUGUUUAUUUUUUUAUGUAUGAAGUUCAUCACUUUUUUUUUUUUUUUACCAAACUUCAAAACACAGGCAUGACAGGCACCCUUUUGUACUUUGGGUACACAAUGAUUAUAGCAUUGACUUUCUUC
rnacentral:lncRNA from 1 species